CGCCCCCGGGUGGGCUCGAACCACCAACCUUUCGGCUAACAUUGACACUACGGGCAGCCCCGCUUUUGUGUUCUUGCGAACUCUAAUCCUUUCGGCUAACAGCCGAACGCGCUAGCCGACUGCGCCACGGAGGU